rnacentral:rRNA from 1 species
GUGGGGAAUAUUGGGCAAUGGGCGAAAGCCUGACCCAGCAACGCCGCGUGAAGGAAGAAGGCUUUCGGGUUGUAAACUUCUUUUACCAGGGACGAAACAAAUGACGGUACCUGGUGAAUAAGCCACGGCUAACUACGUGCCAGCAGCCGCGGUAAUACGUAGGUGGCGCGCGUUAUCCGGAUUUAUUGGGUGUAAAGGGCGUGUAGGCGGGACAGCAAGUCAGAUGUGAAAACCAGAGGCUCAACCUCUGGCCUGCAUUUGAAACUGUUGUUCUGGAGGGUCGGAGAGGUGAUCGGAAUUCCGUGUGUAGCGGUGAAAUGCGUAGAUAUACGGAGGAACACCAGUGGCGAAGGCGGAUUACUGGACGAUAACUGACGCUGAGGCGCGAAAGCGUGGGGAGCAAACAGGAUUAGAAACCCGUGUAGUCC